AUCGAACGCUGGCGGCAGGCCUAACACAUGCAAGUCGAGCGAGGGGCGGACGGGUGAGUAAUGGCUGGGAAACCGUCGGUUGGAUGGGGAUAACUGCGGGAAACGGUAGCUAAUACCGCAUACCAUCAGAUGUGCCCAGAUGGGGUUAGCUAGUAGGUGGGGUAAUGGCUCACCUAGGCGACGAACCAUACCCGGUCUGAGAGGGUGAACAGCCACACUGGGACUGAGACACGGUCCAGACUCCUACGGGAGGCAGCAGUAGGGAAUAUUCCGCAAUGGACGCAAGCCUGAUCGAGCAAUGCCGCGUGUGUGAAGAAGGCCUUCGGAUUGUAAAACCCUGUCGGCGGAGAGGCGUUACCCGACGAGAAAGCACCGGCUAACUCCGUGCCAGCAGCCGCGGUAAUAC
rnacentral:rRNA from 1 species